rnacentral:tRNA from 1 species
AGAGAAGGAGAACAACCAACCUCCCUAAGAC